rnacentral:rRNA from 1 species
ACGAACGCUGGCGGCGUGCCUCAUACAUGCAAGUUGAGCGCUGAAGGUUGGUACUUGUACCAACUGGAUGAGCAGCGAACGGGUGAGUAACGCGUGGGGAAUCUGCCUUUGAGCGGGGGACAACAUUUGGAAACGAAUGCUAAUACCGCAUAAAAACUUUAAACACAAGUUUUAAGUUUGAAAGAUGCAAUUGCAUCACUCAAAGAUGAUCCCGCGUUGUAUUAGCUAGUUGGUGAGGUAAAGGCUCACCAAGGCGAUGAUACAUAGCCGACCUGAGAGGGUGAUCGGCCACAUUGGGACUGAGACACGGCCCAAACUCCUACGGGAGGCAGCAGUAGGGAAUCUUCGGCAAUGGACGAAAGUCUGACCGAGCAACGCCGCGUGAGUGAAGAAGGGUUUCGGAUCGUAAAACUCUGUUGGUAGAGAAGAACGUUGGUGAGAGUGGAAAGCUCAUCAAGUGACGGUAACUACCCAGAAAGGGACGGCUAACUACGUG